UGCGUUCGUAGCUCAGCUGGAUAGAGCGACGGACUUCGAAUCCGUAGGCCGCAGGUUCGAGUCCUGUCGAACGCAA
rnacentral:tRNA from 1 species